CCUACGGGAUGCAGCAGUGAGGAAUAUUGGUCAAUGGGCGGAAGCCUGAACCAGCCAAGUCGCGUGAGGGAUUAAGGCCCUGCGGGUCGUAAACCUCUUUUGCCGGGGAGCAGAGGUCCGGACGUGUCCGGGCCGGGAGAGUACCCGGAGAAAAAGCAUCGGCUAACUCCGUGCCAGCAGCCGCGGUAAUACGGAGGAUGCGAGCGUUAGCCGGAUUUAUUGGGUUUAAAGGGUGCGUAGGCGGGCAUUUAAGCCGGCGGUCAAAUGUCGGGGCUCAACCCCGGCCUGCCGUCGGAACUGGGUGCCUUGAGUGUGCGAGAAGUAUGCGGAAGGCGUGGUGUAGCGGUGAAAUGCAUAGAUAUCACGCAGAACCCCGAUUGCGAAGGCAGCAUACCGGCGCCCUACUGACGCUGAGGCACGAAAGUGCGGGUAUCGAACAGGAUUAGAUACCCCAGUAGUC
rnacentral:rRNA from 1 species